AUCCAUUGCAAUGCCACCCUGAACAAGCCCAAUCCGUCUGAUCUCAGAAGCUAAGCAGGGUCGGGCCUGGUUAGUACUUGGAUGGGAGACCACCUAGGAAGACCAGGUGCUGUAGGCA
rnacentral:rRNA from 1 species